CUUGGUCAUUUAGAGGAAGUAACUGCUCGUAACCGGUUUCCAUAGCUCCAACCUGCUGAAAGAUCAUUCAUUAAGAUAUUUUAUCUCUAAUAAUUGUGUUUGACACAAUUACAGGGGCAUGAACUGAUGAAAGAUAGGUUCAUGUUGCGAGGUUGCUCGCUACACCCAAAAAACAUUUUGUUCAAUUCAUUGUUGUGGUUUAUACAACUUUUAAAGCUGGAUCUCUCGGUUCCUGUGUCCAUGAAGAACGCUUUCCACUACGAUAACCGGUGUGAAUUGCUGAUUCAUGAAUCCUUGAACUUUUGAACGCAUCUUGCACUUGUUAUUGUACUCUCUUCCACUCCUAAUUCCACGGACUUACUUGAAUUCUCUCCCUUGAUGAGGAUAUUGAGUGCCCCUCACUCAAUGGUUGCUUUAAAUUAAAUCGCAAUUGCUUAGGAAUUGAUGGUGGAACUUACCUUUGCAAGCUAUAUCAAGACAUUUUUUACUUCAAAACCGGCAUUUAGGAGGGAAUACCCCCUGAACUCCGCAUAUCAAUAAGCGGAGGA
rnacentral:rRNA from 1 species